CGCUGCACUUAAGAGAUUUCUAAUGGAGGGUUGAUUCUAAACGCACGAUGGAGAAUACAUUUCAAGACAUAAGACAAUUUUCUCGAUGCAACAUUGAACUGGAACGAAAGCUAAAAAUUUUGAAUUUCAUGAAAAGAUUUGGGAAAGUUUCGCUCUCUGUUUCAAUAGGCGGAUUUUUGGUUGUAGAUAGGAAAAUUCUUUUCAAGAUGGCAAGUACAUUGCAUCAUAUUUUUUCUGGUUUCUUAAAAGUAAGAACCGUUUCACACGAGAAAGAUAACUGCUUACAGAUUUAUGAAAUAAAUUACACAAACACAACUUAAAUUUUCGAAAACUGUCAUAAUAUAUAAAGAUUUCCGAAAACAUUUUCAUUCUGAAAAGUGGUUACGUGCUUAUUUUAAAAUGAUAUGAUAAACAUUUGCCGUUUUGCUCAGACAAAUUAUCCAUAAUAUAUUCUUCAGCUCUUUCAUGAAAUAAUCGAUAAAUAAAAAUUGAAAAUCCGUAAAUUUUGAAAAACGAAUAAUAUAGCAAUUUAUGGAUUCACAUUUUGAAACAACCACAUUUUCUAUUUCACAGGAUAUGUCUGUCUCGAUUGAGUUAUUUCUCACAAAACAAUUCUUCAGUUUCUUGUUCUGUUCGCUUGUUUUAUUCCUCGAAGUAUUUUUCCUAUAUUGUGAAUUUGUGCCAUUGAAAGAUUUACUAUUCUUCCAUCAUCUGCGGCUAAUUUUGUAAACUCUUUGUAAACUAUGAAACUAAUGGACAGUUUCGGAAAGUGGCUAAGUGUUUCGAAUUUUCUUUCAUUUUGUCCAGUUUAAACGUUUAUGUAAACUUUUAUGCUUAAUAAAAUGAUAGUUUUAGUUUUAUUUUUUGUAGCAUUUUUUUAGGACUUUUAUAGAAAAUUUGCAUCUCAACUUUCAAGUUUAGCAAUAUGUUAGACAUCUUUCAGAAGGAUAUAUUCGUGUACAUUUUUUAUUACCUAUGAAUUUACUAAUCUAGAUAUACGAUAUAUUUCAUCCAACAAUAAUGAACAUUUUUGUCAUUUUCUGUAUAAAAGAUAUUUACAUGUCUAUCUGCUCUCUGUUAUUCUUAAGGAAUAAUUAUUUUUCCUCCUACAGUAAAGAUGAAUAUGUAUUGUACAAAGUCAUGGUUUGAUGUUCCCCUAAAACAAAAAGUUCGGAAGUACCAUUAGUUAAAAAAUUCACCAGUGACCUCUGGAAACUACGGAGUACCAUGGGAAACGUAACUAACUAAGAUAUACAUUUUGUUUUGCUAACACAUAUUUAAUUAUAAUUACCAAAUUAUUGUUAUUUGCGACAAUACUUUUUCGUGACAUUUCAAGUUUAAAAACUUUUAAAUUUGAAAACACGAAAUGUCAAAUUAAUGCAAAACUUUUAUGGUUUGGAAGACAUUGGGCUUUCUGGACUGCAAAAAGUUACAAAUGAAGUUAAAAAUUCUGUUGUGCAAGACAUAAUAACAGUGUUGUAUAUGUGAUGUAAAUAUAAGCUAAAUUAAUAAGGAUAAGAUAUAAGUAGCAGGUUAACUUUACCAACUAGCCACUAAAGUUUCAUUAAUUAUUUAUAUUAAUCGAUAAAUAAUAUUUUCAGAGUUAUCCGGAAAGUUAAUAGUUUGGGAAAUUUAUACUAUCUCAUUCAGGCCUAAAUUGUUAUCUGUAGGGCAAACAUAAAAUAGCAAUUAUUUUAGUAUAAAAACUUAAAAACUAGAAGAAAUAAAGAUCGAACGGAAGAAAAGGUAAAAAGUUUUCAAACUGUGGUGAUGAUAUCGUUUAGUAUAAAUCUGCUUAACA
rnacentral:lncRNA from 1 species